rnacentral:rRNA from 1 species
UACAGAGGUCUCAAGCGUUGUUCGGAUUCAUUGGGCGUAAAGGGUGCGUAGGUGGCGAGGUAAGUUGGAUGUGAAAUCCCGGGGCUCAACCCCGGAACUGCAUUCAAUACUGCCUUGCUAGAGUACUGGAGAGGAGAUUGGAAUUUACGGUGUAGCAGUGAAAUGCGUAGAUAUCGUAAGGAAGACCAGUGGCGAAGGCGGAUCUCUGGACAGUUCCUGACGCUGAGGCACGAAGGUCAGGGGAGCAAACGGG